rnacentral:rRNA from 1 species
UACGGAGGGUGCAAGCGUUAUUCGGAAUUACUGGGCGUAAAGCGCGUGUAGGCGGUUUGACAAGUCUGGUGUGAAAGCCCCGGACUCAAUUCGGGAAGUGCAUUGGAUACUGUCAAACUGGAGUACAGGAGAGGAGAGUGGAAGUCCUGGUGUAGAGGUGAAAUUCGUAGAUAUCAGGAGGAACAACAGUGGCGAAGGCGACUCUCUGGACUGUAACUGACGCUAAGGCGCGAAAGCGUGGGGAGCAAACAGG